rnacentral:rRNA from 1 species
GAGAAAUCCGAGAAAAAUUUAGAAAUUGUUUAAAUACGCAAAAAAUUCAAGAAUAUUAGUUACAUUGAGGGGGGUAAUGAAUAUAAAUUGAAAAAUGUUUGAGUUUAAAUUUGGCUUGAAAAUUAAUUUUAUGAAAAUAAUUAUAUGCAUAAAAAUAAUGAAUUAAGCAGUAAAAAAUAUUAAAAAAUAUUUGUAUUAAUUAUUUAGUUGAAAAUAAAUUUAUUUUGUGCCAGCAAUUGCGGUUAUACAAAAUAUUUAAAUUAAUUAGAUUGGUUAGUAAUAAAAAAAUUGAAAUUUUAAAAAUAUAAAAUUUAAGGUGAAAUUUAAUUUUAUAAAUGUUGAAAAAAUAAAAUUACUAAAAUUAUAAAAAUUAACUAGGAUUAGAUACCCUAUUAAAUUAAACUAAAAAUAUAGAACUAGACUAAAGUAAAAAAUUUUGGCGGCAUUUUAAUUUUUUCAGAGGAAUCUGUUUUAUAAUUGAUAACCCACGAUUAAAAAUAUUUUAAUUUUUCUUAUAUACCGUCGUGAAAUUUUCUUGGGAUAGAAAAAAUUGUUUACAAUAAAUAAAAUUCAGAUAAAGGUGUAGUUAUAUUAAAAUAAAAAUGGAUUAUAUAUUUUUUAUUUAAGAAAUUGUUUUAUGAUAAAUUAAGGAUUUGAAAGUAAAUUGAUUUAUUAAAUAAGUUGAAUAAAGGAUUAAAAUGUGCACAUAUCGCCCGUCGCUCUCUUAAGGAGAUAAGUCGUAACAAAGUAGAUGUAUUGGAAAAUGUAUCUAGCAAAUU